CGGGGAUUAGUUCAUCGGCAGAACGCCGGGCUGGGGGUCCGGAUGUAGGGAGUUCAAUUCUCCCAUCCCCGA
rnacentral:tRNA from 2 species